rnacentral:lncRNA from 1 species
GGUUUUUAGUUCCUUGAUCUUUGGCCUUUUUCAAUUUCUUCUUGUUGUUUCUCCAUAAAUUUUUCAAGUUUACAAAAUACUGCCAGUACCAUUCAGCUUAGUUCUGGUACUUGAAAAGGCCAUACUUGGGGGGAAAAAAUUGUGCAGCCCACGUGGGCUCGUCGGCUGUUUGAGAGCGUGUUUGGUAUCUACACAGCCUCAGCUGUCAUGGCAGAUGAAAACACCAUCCUGCAAUUCCAAACCCUCCUGUGUGCCUGCUGCUGAUACAAAGAAAACCCCCCUGCAAUUGCCCAGAGACACUUGCAGUUCAAGUCUCUUAUUUCUGACUCCAGGAGAGGUUCAGGAGCCACUACAGAGCAGCCCAAGUGUGCAGUGGCUGAGAAGAAGAUAUUGCUGCUCCUGAAGAGGAUCAUACUCCUGGCUUGAAAUCAGAUGCUCCUGGAGAGCCCCAAGGCAGCUUUGCAGUGUGGUGGAGGCUGGAGGAUGAUGCAUCCUUGGGAAGGGACUCAGGCAAAGGGCAGGGAUUUCAUCUGCUUGUGAUUCAGAGCUCUGCUCAUUCACUAAAAUCACCUCUUUGUUUUUUUAUUUGGAGCUUAACCGUGCUGAUUCUGCCAUGGGUUAUGGGUUUGCAGUGGUGCAAUACCCCAGUGCUGAUGGCUCCUGUGGGGGAAUAGCAGGUAACUCGUGUUGGGAUAAUCUGCAUCUUUAUUUUUAGAAACAAAACCCUUCCCAGAAAAAGAAACCCUCUGCUUUCGUUAUGUCAUUGUGGGAACAGUCUGGCAAGGUUUUAGCUCCUUGUUUCACGCAUUCAGCUGUUUCUUGAUACUGGAAAUAAAAGUUGUGUGUUUAAUUAUGUGCUGUGGAGA